rnacentral:rRNA from 1 species
AUUGAACGCUGGCGGCAUGCCUUACACAUGCCAGUCGAACGGUAACAGGUCUUCGGAUGCUGACGAGUGGCGAACGGGUGAGUAAUACAUCGGAACGUGCCCGAUCGUGGGGGAUAACGAAGCGAAAGCUUUGCUAAUACCGCAUACGAUCUACGGAUGAAAGCGGGGGAUCUUCGGACCUCGCGCGGACGGAGCGGCCGAUGGCAGAUUAGGUAGUUGGUGGGAUAAAAGCUUACCAAGCCGACGAUCUGUAGCUGGUCUGAGAGGAUGUUCAGCCACACUGGGACUGAGACACGGCCCAGACUCCUACGGGAGGCAGCAGUGGGGAAUUUUGGACAAUGGGCGCAAGCCUGAUCCAGCCAUGCCGCGUGCAGGAUGAAGGCCUUCGGGUUGUAAACUGCUUUUGUACGGAACGAAAAGGUGCCUUCUAAUAAAGGGCGCUCAUGACGGUACCGUAAGAAUAAGCACCGGCUAACUACGUG